rnacentral:rRNA from 1 species
UGGGGAAUAUUGGACAAUGGGGGCAACCCUGAUCCAGCAAUGCCGCGUGUGUGAAGAAGGCCUUCGGGUUGUAAAGCACUUUAGUUGGGGAAGAAGAUAUGUUGUUUAAGAGAUGACAUAUUUGACGGUACCCAAAGAAUAAGCACCGGCUAACUCUGUGCCAGCAGCCGCGGUAAUACAGAGGGUGCAAGCGUUAAUCGGAGUUACUGGGCGUAAAGGGCGCGUAGGCGGACAAACAAGUUUGAUGUGAAAUCCCUGGGCUUAACCUAGGAACUGCAUUGAAGACUGUUUGACUAGAGUAUUGUAGAGGGUAGUGGAAUUUCCGGUGUAGCGGUGAAAUGCGUAGAGAUCGGAAGGAACACCAGUGGCGAAGGCGGCUACCUGGACAGAUACUGACGCUGAGGCGCGAGAGCGUGGGGAGCAAACAGG